GUGGGGAAUAUUGCACAAUGGGGGAAACCCUGAUGCAGCGACGCCGCGUGAGUGAAGAAGUAUUUCGGUAUGUAAAGCUCUAUCAGCAGGGAAGAAAAUGACGGUACCUGACUAAGAAGCCCCGGCUAACUACGUGCCAGCAGCCGCGGUAAUACGUAGGGGGCAAGCGUUAUCCGGAUUUACUGGGUGUAAAGGGAGCGUAGACGGUUAAGCAAGUCAGAAGUGAAAGGCUGGGGCUCAACCCCGGGACUGCUUUUGAAACUGUUUAACUAGAGUGCUGGAGAGGUAAGCGGAAUUCCUAGUGUAGCGGUGAAAUGCGUAGAUAUUAGGAGGAACACCAGUGGCGAAGGCGGCUUACUGGACAGUAACUGACGUUGAGGCUCGAAAGCGUGGGGAGCAAACAGGAUUAGAUACCCCAGUAGUCC
rnacentral:rRNA from 1 species